AUUGAACGCUGGCGGCAGGCCUAACACAUGCAAGUCGAACGAGUGGCGGACGGGUGGGUAAUGUCUGGGACACUGCCUGAUGGAGGGGGCUAACUACUGGAAACGGUUGCUAAUACCGCAUACCAUCAGAUGUGCCCAGAUGGGAGUAGCUGGUUGGUGGGGUAACGGCUCACCAAGGCGCCGAUCCCUAGCUGGUCUGAGCGGAUGACCAGCCACACUGGAACUGAGACACGGUCCAGACGCCUACGGUAGGCAGCAGGGGGGAAUAUUGCGCAAUGGGCGCAAGCCUGAUGCAGCCAGGCCGCGUGUAUGAAGAAGGCCUUCGGGUUGUAAAGUACUUUCAGCUGGGAGGCGGUACCCGCAGAAGAAGCACCGGCUAACUCCGUGCCAGCAGCCGCGGUAAUAC
rnacentral:rRNA from 1 species